UAGAGUUCAGUCUCCAAACCAGAACUUCAGGAAGCAGAACUUGAGCCUGCACCAUGCCCUGGGCUCCUCUGCUCCUCACCCUCCUCACAUGUCAUACAGUGUCUUUGGCCCAGGCAGGGCUGACUCAGCCCCCAUCGGUGUCCAUGGGCUUGGGACAGACAGUCACACUCACCUGCACUGGGAAUGGCAAUAAUGUUGGUAAUGAGGGAGCGGUUUGGCUGCAGCAGCACCCAGGUCGGUCCCCCAAACUCCUGGUGGACAGGGUGCACAAUCGACCCCCAGGGAUCUCAGAGAGGUUCAUGGGGUCCAGAUCAGGAAACGUCACUUCCCUGACCAUCUCCGGGCUCCAGGAGGAGGACGAGGCUGACUAUUUCUGUACAGCAUGGGACAAGACCUCAACGGUUUGCACGGUGCUUCAGGCCAGUGGGGAAGUGAGACAAAAACUCAUGAGCUCCCCUUUCCUUACUCAGCAUGUGGGAACCUCACAGAGCACUGUGUAA